rnacentral:rRNA from 1 species
UACGUAGGGUGCGAGCGUUGUCCGGAAUUACUGGGCGUAAAGAGCUCGUAGGUGGUUUGUCGCGUUGUUCGUGAAAACCGGGGGCUUAACCCUCGGCGUGCGGGCGAUACGGGCAGACUUGAGUACUGCAGGGGAGACUGGAAUUCCUGGUGUAGCGGUGGAAUGCGCAGAUAUCAGGAGGAACACCGGUGGCGAAGGCGGUUCUCUGGGCAUUACCUGACGCUGAGGAGCGAAAGUGUGGGGAGCGAACAGG